rnacentral:rRNA from 1 species
UACGUAGGGUGCGAGCGUUGUCCGGAAUUAUUGGGCGUAAAGAGCUCGUAGGCGGCCUGUCGCGUCGGAUGUGAAAGCCCGGGGCUUAACCCCGGGUCUGCAUUCGAUACGGGCAGGCUGGAGUGUGGUAGGGGAGAUCGGAAUUCCUGGUGUAGCGGUGAAAUGCGCAGAUAUCAGGAGGAACACCGGUGGCGAAGGCGGAUCUCUGGGCCAUUACUGACGCUGAGGAGCGAAAGCGUGGGGGAGCGAACAGG